AUCCCAAGACCCUGGGAUCAUGACCUGAGCCGAAGGCAGAGGCUUUAACCCACUGAGCCACCCAGGCGCCCCUGGGGGGGACUCUUUAACCACCAGCCAGACCAACCCUUCAGCCAUCAGAUGGGGAACACGAGGCCCAGGGCAGGCCAGCCCAGUGUCCAGCAAGCCCACAGGCGAGAGCCGGGUGGAACAAGGGGGUAGGACCCGCCAGUCCCGGACCCAGGAGGCAAACGGGGUCAGAUUGUGCGGGAUGCCAACAUAGGGAGCGGGAGCUGGGAGCUGCUCUGAGGGCCUGGGCUGGUCCUCUGGGUGUGAGGGAAGGUCCCCCACCCCCAGCCUAGACCCCGGAGGAAGCACAGUGGUUGACAGAGAGGCUGAGUGACUGAGGAAAGCAGGACCAGAUCCAGGAACCUGCUCCCGCCCUUUCUGUGGGAGAAGCGGCCGCCACACCUGCCCUCCCCGCCAGCUCCGGUCUGGCCUCAGCUCCCAAUGUGCAGCAUGGGAGGGACUGGUCCUCGGUGUCCUUGCCCGUGCCAGUGGGUGCGAUGCCACUCAGCCUUGGCACAGCGGGGUCCCACAGCAGCCCCCAGAGGAGCAGGGCUGGCGGGCGCGGCCCCCCAUGGGGAGUGAGGAGGGAGGUCAGCGCCCUGCAGACAAUCCACACGGAGCAGGUGCCCCCCCCAUCUCCGGGACGGGCCCAGGGCCAUCAGGCUGACCCGCCCCCCUGCUCCCCGCUGCCUGGGAUCGGGAGGGCAGCCCCCGAACAGCGGAGGGGUGUGCCUGGAGCGUGCCCCCGACGUGUGACUCAUGGACGCUCAAUUUGAGUUUCAUGUCAUUUUUAUGUGUCACAAAAUAUUUUCCUUCUUUGGCUGUUUUUUCACGGGUUUAAACACGUGACUGCAUUCUUGGGGAGACGCAGACACAGCGCAGGGCCUGGUGCACACCCCCGUGCUCAGCCUGAUCUCCCCAGGUCUCGGGCAGCUCUGUCGUCAUCACGGUUCGCAGGAAGCCAAGGCUCACGGCAGGUUAAGAGCCCCGUCCCUGCUCUCCCAGCGGAGAGACAGCCUGGCAGGGCCGCUGGCAGUCAGGCCUCCAAGAACCAGGCUUGGGGUCCCCACGCGCCCCUCCUGCAUGCGGUUUAUGCUGGCCUGUGGUUCCCACACUGCGGCCGGCAGUGGAAGCGUGCCUGCUCCCCCCCCCCCCACCCCGCAGCAUUAGUGCCGGGCUCUGCUUCUGAAUGAAUGGGGGCGGCCCCGGGGGGCGGGAGGGGGGGACGACUCCCAAAAGACCAUCUGGCUCUGCGUUAUAAUAGAGCAAUGAAGGGCUUGUCUGCCUUUCAGAGGUUGGGAGCGAGCUGCUCUCUGACACGGCAGGGUUUUAACCAGCUUUGGACUGCGACCUGGGCCUGCCCCCGGCCACUGGGGGGGUGGGGGCCACGUGGGCCAGAGAGGCCCCUAAUCCGGAGGGGCCCAUGAGACUCAAGGGCCCCGCGCUUUCCCACACCCCCCGCCUCUGCGCGUCCACCCUGCUCCUCUUUCCGCUGGGGAAACUGAGGCCUCGGAGGCUGGGGCUGGUCAAGCCUAGGGUCUGAGCUCUCCCACUCAGAGACCAGAGCACCCUCCGUUUAGGAACAUGGGGCCUGCUCUGGCCCACAAAGCCUGGGGUCCCCAAGUCUGGCCUGGGAACUUGGUGGGACCGCUGCUCAGGUGUGAUCCCACCCCCGCCAUGAAGGGCGGGAGCUGCGGAGACCCAGGGACGGCCUGCCCUCCCCCAGUCAGGCUGCAGGGUAGUGCCUGGUUUGGACGAGCUGAGAGAAGGGGUGGGUGCGGAGGCUGAAGUCACCACCCCCACUGUCCAGGGCAGAGCCAGCUCAUCCCAGGCCCCCAGGAGUAAGGACGGAGGCCAAACUCACAGCUGGAAGCUGUCCAAGGGCAGCUUCCGCAGAAGGGUUUCAGCCCCCCGGAGCACAGAAUCUGACGGAGCGGGCAGGUCUGUGACCUGACCCCCAGCAUUCCACGUAUGAGGCCCAGCCUGGCCCACCUCGUGGGUACUCACAGGCAGUCCUUCCCUGCUCAGAGCCCCUACUCCCUGGGACCCCGCCACCAUGAAAGGAGAGGUGUGUGUACAGACAAGGGUGUGCGGAGAGCCUCGAGCCCCUGACUUGGUGACCCUGAUUCAGUACACUGGCCUCUGCUCAGGGGAGAAUCACAGGCAACUCCAAGCUGUCAGUCCCAGCAAUGAGGGCUCCUUCUGGGCCAGGCCAAGCGGGGCGGGGUGGGGGGGUCUCCUCUCGGCAGUGCCGCACUCGGCCACCCUGGGUCAUCUCCCGCGACCUGGAACCAGGGCCUCCAUCACGUGGUCUUGGCGGGAAAAGCCCACCGCACAGAGGGCCAAGGUUCACCUGUUCCCGACCAGGGGGCUCAGAGCGGCCCUCAGCCCGGCGUGAACCUUCUUCUCAAGGGUCUCUAACACCUGGGCAGCAGGACGCCGCUGUGAAGGAGUGACCCAGCUGGGACACCUGAGCUGUGUCUACACACUGACCAGCCAAGGAGAGUGGGCCAAGCUGAGGGGCCAGGGAGCCAGGGCCAGGCCCUUUAUUCCCGGAGCCCAGCGCACACCCUGGGAUGAGCACACACAGGCGGGGGAACCCCUGCCAGCCGGACUUGGAGACGCUGGUCCCUAUUUCAACGCCCCCCGCCGCCGCCCCCACCAAGCCCAGAUGUCCCCAUUCUCAUUGCCUGGCAAAGUGUCUGCCGUUGCUUAUCUGGAACACACCUGCUAUCCCUCCAAGGACUGCUCGGGCCUCUCCUCCUCCAGGAAGACCUUCCUGGGCACCCCUAUCGCCCCCUCCAUUCCCGAAAUCCAUGGCUCUUUCAAGAAGCAUCAGUGCCUCCACCUUCCGCACGAUGCCGAGCCCAAGUGUGCCCUCUUAGAAACCACAGGAGGGUCUGACGCUCACUCCAGAGAAUCCGGGAAACAGAGGCAUAAUGGAAACCAACCCCUGUGUGUGUCACACAAACUAAGCAGUGUGUGUGUCCCAAAGCGCCGGCAUUGGGGAGCUUUUCCUUGACUUCUCUGCCAAGGUCAAGUGGGCGUCUCUCCGGAGUGUUGGCCUGUCUUAGAUGUACACCUCACAACAUUAUCCCCUACCUGUGAGGGUUUCCUGCCCCCCCCGCCCCUGGGUGGAGGCUGGGCCUCAGGACC